CACACACACACACACACACACACACACACACACACACACACACACACACACACACACACACACACACACACACACACACACACACACACACACACACACACACACAAACACACACACACACACACACACAAUUAACAACUCCUCCAACCGCUCGGGGAAUGUUGCAUCAUGGGAAAUGUAGGCGGUGGGUUCUUCCAAAGACAGAAAAUAUCAGAAUUUGACUCUGAGAGGACAGAGGAGCGAUAAACGCUCUGUCCACAGGGGGGCGCCAAAAUCACCACAUACAGGAAGUCCCUCACAGGAGCUUUAAACCCGAGGAGUGAGAGGAGGAGGAGGAGGAGCGAGAGAGAACCACCUGAACCACCAGAACCACCUGAACCAUCAGAACCACCUGAACCACCAGAACCAUCAGAACCACCUGAACCACCUGAACCAUCAGAACCACCUGAACCACCUGAACCAUCAGAACCACCUGAACCACCUGAACCAUCAGAACCAUCAGAACCAUCAGAACCACCUGAACCACCUGAACCACC